GACGAACGCUGGCGGCGUGCUUAACACAUGCAAGUCGAACGGAAAGGCCCUGCUUUUGUGGGGUGCUCGAGUGGCGAACGGGUGAGUAACACGUGAGUAACCUGCCCUUGACUUUGGGAUAACUUCAGGAAACUGGGGCUAAUACCGGAUAGGAGCUCCUGCUGCAUGGUGGGGGUUGGAAAGUUUCGGCGGUUGGGGAUGGACCCGCGGCUUAUCAGCUUGUUGGUGGGGUAGUGGCUUACCAAGGCUUUGACGGGUGGCCGGCCUGAGAGGGUGACCGGCCACAUUGGGACUGAGAUACGGCCCAGACUCCUACGGGAGGCAGCAGUGGGGAAUAUUGCACAAUGGGCGGAAGCCUGAUGCAGCAACGCCGCGUGCGGGAUGACGGCCUUCGGGUUGUAAACCGCUUUCGCCUGUGACGAAGCGUGAGUGACGGUAAUGGGUAAAGAAGCACCGGCUAACUACGUG
rnacentral:rRNA from 1 species